UUUUUCUUAGUAUAUAAGUAUAUUUGACUUCCAAUCAAAAGGUCUAAAACUUAGAGAAAAAA
rnacentral:tRNA from 2 species